CCGCCUUGGUGUCGUGGUCGCCGUGAACUCACCGGCGCGCAAAACCGGUCCCUAGAUGGCGGAUCCUCCGGAGCUUUUUGGUAGACCAGUGAGGGUCGCUGAGAGGAUUUUUGACUUCGCCGAUCUCAACUGAAGAGCCGGCGAAUGGACCUAUCUAGCUGAUCUUAGGACAGCUUAGUUUUUGAGGACUGAUCUUCUAUAGAUCUUUUGUAAAUAGCCUAGUCCUGUAAAUGAACUGGUUUGAUAUGUAUAAAAAGUAUGUGGUUGGUUUU